GUACGAACUUUGUGCUGUGUAUGUUAUAGCUGGUUCAAAGGCAUCUCAGCGGUAUUCGCCUUCUGGUUUCUUCUUUGGCGUAUCAGCAAUUGCCUUAGCAAUUAACAUGCUCUUUAUCUGUAGAAUGGUGUUUAAUGGAAACGGCUUAGAUGUGGAUGAGUAUGUAAGGAAGGCAUACAAAUUUGCCUAUUCCGAUUGUAUAGAAGUGGGUCCUGUGGCUU